GUGCCAGCAGCCGCGGUAAUACGUAGGUCCCGAGCGUUGUCCGGAUUUAUUGGGCGUAAAGCGAGCGCAGGCGGUUUGAUAAGUCUGAAGUUAAAGGCUGUGGCUCAACCAUAGUUCGCUUUGGAAACUGUCAAACUUGAGUGCAGAAGGGGAGAGUGGAAUUCCAUGUGUAGCGGUGAAAUGCGUAGAUAUAUGGAGGAACACCGGUGGCGAAAGCGGC
rnacentral:rRNA from 1 species